AUUUAUUCUAGCUCGCAAAAAUCAGAAGAGGUAGAAGCAGCGCAAGCAGAACCAAAAGCAAGAACACGAAAAGAAUUCUCUUUGCUGCAGCCGUCACUAGAAAGUGGUGCCUGAAAGGUAAAGGCUAGUUCUGCGACCGGAUUCCUCGUUUUUACCUGUGUCCCCAUUUAACUUUCAUCGCGAAACGCGCACCUUUGUGCGUACGUGUGUGUGUUUUUUUCGUGUCUAGCGGCAUCAUCACAGUGCAGGCGGCUCGCGGAAACAUCAAUUUUCCAUUUCCACCGAUUCGGUUUCCGUGACCAUCUCGUGUUUCUCUUCCGCACCGUCUCUGUUCGAGGUUAGAACGGUGUAUUAAAAAUGGAGUGAGCGUUAGUGCAGAGUGGCAUUCCAUUUCUUCCCAUUUUUGCAAACGCAUCGUGUGUUGCGUUUGAUGCAGUUGGUGUAAGCUACUCGUGAUUUGACCGUGUGGUGGCAUGGGUUUGGUCGAGCGAAAGAAAAUGUCGGCGAAACAUCAUCCCAUUCAUUGACGGCAAAAGGCAACCCGUCUGCCUUUGUGUGUGUGUAAACGUGCGUCACUUCGUUGUUGAUCCAUGGCAUUUGUGUUCCAAAAAAUCGAAACAGUUUAGUGAUUUGAAUGGUUUAACAGCAAACAAAUUUGCACCGAAAACGAAAAUCCAUCGCCCGAGUGAUUCUAUACAAUUUUGCAUGUGUUAAGUACCAGUUAUUCAUCUUUUUUAUCUCUAGUCAACGAGAAGAAGAAGUGUUGUGCUUUUGUUAUUGUUACAUCGCAUUGAAACGAGACCAACAUGGAGCGGUAUGGUAGCUAGCGAAAAUUGUACUUCAUUGUUGGUCUAGUAACCGCAGAACCGUGCAAACGCGCGCGUGUGUGUGUGUGUGAGUGGGCUGUGAAAUCAGUCGGUGGUGGGUUGGCUUUGUGUGACACUGGCCCUUUCAGUUUUCAGAUCCCGCUUGUCUCGCGCGACAACGUCGGGGUGUAAGUGGUUGCCAGCUUGCCGUAGUGUUUGUGUGUGCGCUGCCCCCGUAGGGAGCGAGUGUGCUUGAAAGUGGAGAAAGAAAUGAGAAAAACAACAACAACGUAAAGCAACGCAGCAUACCGUGGAAUGCAAAACGUCUCUGCGCUAGCCAGCAACAGCCGUCCGACUUUGCUUAAACUCCGCUACAGGUAGAGGCAAGCAGCAGAACCGAAAGGCAUACAUAAAUACAGGCGACAGCAUUUAAAUAUCCGCCAACCCGUGUGCUGACAACUCACGUUCACGUCCCACUGGUGUAGCUUUUGUUCGCAUUCGGUGGAGCAAGCUAAAGGGUAGAAAGGGGCACAUUAUCGAUCGGAAAUAUUCCCGAAAAAACCAGUGUUCGAUUUUGCGACAAAGCAGCUGCUUUAACGGGGCCGAAAGUUACGUUAGACGGGAAAAACCCCGUUGCGUCCGAAGGAAGCGAACGGUAUUGUGAUAGGUGACAGAACAAGGGCGACGGAAAGCAACGAUGAGUACCAACAGCACAACGACCAACGCUGGGAAUGAUGUUAACAGCGGGGGCGGUGGUGGUGGUGGCGGCGGCGGCCUAGGAGGAGGAGGAGGUGGCAGUGGAAGCAGCGGGAGCAGCAUAGAAGUUGAAUACAACGAAAUCGUAUCCCGGCGAGGUUGGCCGAUGGUAUUCCAGGAUAUUCGCGAGAGAAGCGAUAUUCAGGCGCGGGCGAAAAAGUUUUCCACCGACGAAUCGAAAAAGUUAGACAACCGGCGACUGAAUCGAUAUCGGGAUGUACUACCGUACGAUCACUCCCGAGUAGCCCUGAAACGUGGCGACGGUGACUACAUCAAUGCGAACCUGGUGAAGAUGGAACGAGCUGGUCGGAAGUACAUUCUUUGCCAGGGACCGCUUCCACUUACGGUAGGCCACUUUUGGGUGAUGGUGUGGGAACAUGAUUCACGCGCCAUUCUAAUGUUAAAUAAGUUGAUCGAACAAACGACCGUCAAAUGUCACCAGUACUGGCCAGCAAAGAUUGGCGAGCAGCACCGGCUCGAGCUGACCGAUGUUCAGCUUUCGGUAGUACAUCUGAAGUGUGUGGAGUAUAAAAACUUCUGCAAAAGAACUUUCAGACUGACGGACCUGGAGACAGGCAAAAGCCGCGAAGUGAUACAAUUUCACUACACGACUUGGCCGGAUUUUGGUAUCCCCAGCUCUCCGGUAGCAUUUUUGCAAUUUUUGAAGGAAGUACGCGACUCCGGAGCGCUUGAUCGUGACGUUGGCCCACCGAUAAUUCACUGCAGCGCCGGUAUCGGUCGUUCCGGAACGUUUUGUUUGGUGGAUUGCUGUCUCGUGCUGGUUGAUAAGGAGGGAGAGGAUCGGGUUUCUGUUCAGGAUGUGCUGCUAGAGUUGCGACAGUAUCGAAUGGGUCUAAUUCAAACCCCGGAUCAGCUGUACUUCUCGUACCAGGCCAUCAUCGAAGGAAUGAAGCGUAUGAACAACUCCUCGUUCGAGGAGUUUGAAGAGCUGUCCGUUGUGUCCUCAUCCAGUCAGCAGAACAGUGACCAGGAAGAUAACGAGGAUACGCCACCACCUUUACCGCCCCCUCGUACACAUUCGCUCACGGCCAAGCCAUUACCGGUCAUUCCAACCAGCGAGAGCGUGCACGAGGAUUUCCUUCUCGGUAGCAGUAAUGGUGGAGACCGCGAUAAGGUGAACAAUCUAGUAAAUCUGGAAAAGAGCAAGCAAUUUGAGAUGAGUGACGAAAACCAUCACCACCAUCAUCACAACAAUCAUCAUCAUAAGCGAAAUGACAGCAACAACCACAAUAACCAUCAUCACCAUUCGUACAGUAAUCGGCCAUUGCCGCCAAUAGUGCGGGAUAGCGCACUGUACAAAGUGAAUGAACAUGAUAGUGAUGGCGGUGGUGGAAACGGGGAUGGUAGCAGUGGCAGUGACGCCAGCGAUUCCAACGCGAUGAGCAGCGAAGAUGAACUGAUCGAGGAGAAUGAUAGCGAUAUUGGUGAAGAAGAUUACGAUGAAGAAGAGCUGGAGGAGAAGAACCGCGGCGCCAUAGGCCGAGACGUUCCGUCCGAUAACAGUGAUAACAUUAAAAGCUCUUUGCUGGAUGAAAGCAGCAGCACGACAACAGCGACAACAACGACGACCAGCACCACCUCCAGUAGUGGUGGUACAUCGACGGGCAUAUCCACCUCGACGUCGGUAUCUACCACGUCGUCCACCACGGCUAGUGCGAUUGGAUCGAACAAUUCCACGUUAGAGUCGAAACGAGGCGACUCAAAAUCAAACGAUCAAGUGUUUAACGCUAACUCGAGCCUACCACCGCUACCGAAUGGGGCACUGGAUGAUGGCGAGGACGCGAUCUCCAGCCCGGAGCGCGAAUUAUCACCGAGCGCCGAACUGCGACGUCGGAAGCGUAUCGAGCGUCAAUCAGCCAUGGAGGAGAAAAUACGCGAGAUCAAACGCAAGCGGAAAGAGGUGGAAAGCAAGGGAUCACCGAAAAAGCGCAGGUUAUUACUGUUUUCCAUUGCAGCCGGUGUUUGUUUCAGCGUUCUGUGCGUAUAUCUUUACACCAAACAAAUGUAAUUCAAUGUUUACCGGUGUCGAGAAGAUGCAUCAAUGCCGUAGUCAGAAUGUUGACAUAGAAAGCACAGAAAAAUCGAAAAAGGAUGAAAAGAAACAAAGAAACAGGGAGGAAACGGAGACAGUAACGAUUUGGUUGGUGGAAGCAACUGAAACGUGUAUUAGGCCAAGGAAAAAUCAUUCCUACAUAUAGGCAGAAGUAAUCAAAAUGUCUUAUUAAGCUGAUCCCCUAAGCAUAACUAACAAACAUGUCGAUGAUAUGAGCAGUUCGUCUAUACAUAUGUACGUACGAUCGCUCGUAUUAUUGUGGUUCACAACACAGCGUAACGAACGGUGAUGAUUUUAUAGUGUCGUUUUACAGUUGUUUCGAUGUAUCGAAUUUCUGAAUCGAAAUGCGGUUUAAAGAAUUUACAUUUUGUGGAUAACCUGCGACGUGAAGUUAGCUUUUCCUCAUAAUGUUUUUUUCUUUUUAAUUUUUCCCACUCUACAGCCUGCUGUGGAAAGAUUUGAUAAAUUUAUUAGGGACAGCUUCUAAAAUCAGGAACGUUAGAGAAAAAGAUAAAGUUCAACAGAUCAACUCACUAACACCACGACAUAUUCCAACGUAUUGCAAUUCGAAACACGCAUCCUCAUGAUCGUUGAUGCGUUUAAUCUAAUUCUAUACCGAGUAAGGAAUGCAAUGGUAUGUUCGAGAUGCUUUCACCUUAUUUAUUCACAUGCAUCUUCAGGGUACCAAUUUUUUACGUACGUUGCUGCUAUGUGAGGCAAGAAUCUCAAUUUGGAAAAACAAUGCUCCACCGUUCGAUAAUCGUUGGUGUGAGAAUUAGUUCAAAAGAAAGAAGUUAAUUUUGUUACCUUCGGCUAGUGCAACGCAUGUGGAGGAUUGUCUUUGUUGUAACAAAUUGGAAUCCAUUCUGCUAGCGGCAUGAAGGAAAUAGAAAAAAAAUAUUGUAAAUGCUAAUGUGUUAAGAUAGUGUUUUAGUAUGUUAUUUUUUCCCUUCUUAGUAUAAUUUUCCAUCUACACCACGUACACUGCAUACAUUUCAUCCUUGCAGACCUAACUACUGUUCCGAUUUACACACCUAGGCAUUUUAAUUAAAUCAUAUAGAUUGUUUUUAAACAGUAGGCAAACAGAUUUUCGAUAGGUUAUGCCCGGCAAAAAACACGAACUGUCGACAACGAUGAAUCGAACUUUUGAAAAACACGCGUCGGAUCGUUUCAUUCGUUCUGAGUAAUUGAUAAUAGCACAUUUAAUCCUGCAUGAUUUGUACAGGAUUGAUCCUUACGUUGUUAUGGUGCAAAAACGAACUAGACAGGAUAGAAACCCCAGCGAGAUAUUGUUUAGCACUUACUUUUAUACCACCAUUUUUGUGGCCGUAAAAAGUGUUCAACCUUUGUCUUAAUCGUUCUGUUUCGAGAUAGAAUGUUUGCCUGCAUGGAAAAAAGAGAAAGGGUUUGUGCAUCAAAUUAAUUUUAAUAAUUAAAACAACGAGCAAGUUUAAACCGAUAUACCACAAUGAAAAUUUAUCGCAAUUACAAGAUUUAUGUUUGUGUGCUAAGUUUCCCUUUUGUUGAACACUUAUAUGAAGAUAUAUAAAACAAGCAAGGAAUGCCACAGAAUUAGAAUCAUUUUUGUUUCUGAUUAACUCUAUCGAAAGGAUGAAGAUAUAAUGGUCUGUCCGAAGCAAAGAUAAAUAUGUUUUCUAACCAAUGCAAGAAACGUGGAUUCUGAAUAUUUCUAAAUUACACUGAAAAAAUUGUACCGCUAACAAGCGAGUGUUGUGAAUGUAAUCAUUCUAUGCACAGCUCUGUAGGGGAAAAUUAACCACACGUAUAAAAUUUAGGAGUAUGGAACAUUGUGACAAAAAUAACAACAAUGAAACAGAUUAUGCAACACUACAGAAAAAGUUGUGAGCUCAGAUUUGAGAUACGAGUAUGAUGUGAGUGAACGAAAGAUCGAGUAUAUAUAAUUAUACAUUAUUAUAUAUAUAUAUGGUCCAUGUUUUUUCUAGAUAUAUUAUAUUGAAUAGUUUAUUUUUUAUCCCUUUUCCUUUUCUAUCGACCCCUAUCUUUUAACAGUAGCAGAAAAAAUGUAGAAAUGUUUUAUAAAACCAGCGACACGUAUAAAACCAGAGGCACGAUAAGAAUGAGAAAUCUAUGGUGAGAAUAAUAUGAUAAAAUAUUUAGAAUUGUGAACAAAACCAAGUAAAGAGAAUAACAUUGAAACUGGAAGUAAAACGGAAAGAUUACGAGAAGAACGAAACAUAGAGACGAAGGACAAACACAUAUAUUAGGCAGUAUACAGUAGAUACGUGUCUAUUAUUUUUGUUUAAUCUAGAAGAAAAAUUGUAUAAAAAACAUAUAUGGUGUAAUGGUUGCAUAGUUGUUAUAUUAUAUGCUUUGGGAGAAAGAAAGCUGCUUUUAUUGUUCGGUACCUAUGACCAUUACCGCUAGGAAUUGCAUUUUUACGUUUUAUUGUUGGUUCAAGAACAAAGAUACAUGGAAGACAUACUCUUUACCAUUAACAUGGUAAAGGAUAAAAUGCUUAGGAUGCCCUGAAGAGCAAACCAAGGAGAAGCGAAAAGUAAGAACAUAUUUUAAUCCAAGCAUUAGUUUGGUCGCUCUCUUAUUCAUGUUUUAUGUUUCUUCUUUUUCGUUUUAGAAUACCAACGCUCGAAAUAACAAUGCGAAAGAAGCGAUCGAUUAGUGUGUUAGCGUAGUGCGUAUGGUUGAUCAUAAAUGCUAAAACGUCUUUUGUACCGGAUUGCUGCUUCACUGAUUGAAUAAUGUUGAUCAACAAAUAAUGUUGAUUUGAGCAACAUUUAUCACAAAAAACACAGUUGCAAUGGGUAGCUUUUAUCAUUUAACUACGCUUUGCUUAAAUGCUGAACAGAGGUUAGCAUUGCAUCGGACCUUCGCUAAGCGUGCGUGAAUGCUGGCAACUGGCUGCACUAAUGGACGAUGAGAAGACGGCUUUUGCUUUUUUCCUGCAGCAUUUUGCUUGUUCAACCGCAUUGUGAACGCGCAUUGGAAGAGACAAGGCAUUGUGCGACGGGAACAUAGCAGCCUCUGUGAAUUAUGGAAACAAAAAGAAACAGAGAAAUGAUAUUUGGAAAUUCCCUGGAGGGUAUACUUUAUAUGUCACAUUUAGAGUGAUUAUUUGUUGUACCCGACAUAACACAGCGGCACCACUAGGAUUCCGCGGAUAAUUUUCCUCAAAAAACACAUUACUCUAGACACUUUCUUCAAUUACGUCGCAACGGCCGAGGAAUUCUGUGGCAGUAAGGUUAACACAUUUGUUGCGUCGAUCAAUCGAUCGAUGAAAUGCAUUAAACUAUUGAACAUAGCCACGUACACAUACCCACACAUCUGUAUACAUACGAAAGCAUACUAUGGAACGACGGGUGCACACCGAAGGCAAAAGACUGCUUUUAGCUACGGUAAAGUAGAAUUAAUCAGGUUUUUGGGGAACUAUAACUACAAGAAUGAACAGUUAAUAGAUCUUAUGGUAAUGGAGGUUCCAUGAACAGAAAUGUCAAUUUUUUGCAAUAUUAAGAAUAGUGCGCAAACAUACAUAAUGUUUAUAAUUUUUGACAAUCUAAACAACUUUUGCAAGUACUUGGUGGUGGUGUAAGUGGUAACGGCGCCGGACUUUAGCACGAUAGGACCGGUGUCAAAUUCCAUCCGCACCGUACCUCCUGUUACUGCAAAAAGCAAGAGAACCUAAUCUGGUUCAACUACAAACUUAUCCCAAAAUUGAAUUGUAUCAUGUGUGUGUUGUGUUUCACAUUUCAACAAAACAAUAAGUUGAAAUUAAUUUACUGUUAAUGCGAUAGUUACUAUUUUCCCAUUUUUGAUGACGUUUGUUAAAUGAGGUCUGCUUUAGCACACCCGAUGUGCUGAUACUGCGUUAUAUCAAUCAAUUCAUUAUAUUUGUUCACAUUUUCACACUCACUGUUAAAUGAUUUGAAUUUUGUAACUAUCAUGGUUGAGUUGUGGGUUAUUUGCGGGUAUAUAUAUUCGAUAGCAUUUAAGACUAGUGCUAUAACCAUUGCCAAAAUGUAACAACAUGCCGGAGUUCAAACAUGAAAAGCAAAUUAUAAUCAGCUAAACGGAAUUAUAUCUCCCGUGGGUAGGUAUGGUUACAUUAGAGAUCAACAUGAUUCGCCAAGAAAGCCGUGAAGGUAAUGUUUAUAGCAGACACGUUAACAUUUAUAAUAAAACUAUUGCUCAUAACUAG